rnacentral:rRNA from 1 species
UACGAACUGUGCGAACGUUGUUCGGAAUCACUGGGCUUACAGGGUGCGUAGGCGGCUCAACAAGUCAGGUGUGAAAGCCCCCGGCUCAACCGGGGAACUGCGCUUGAAACUGUUAGGCUCGAGUCAGCUAGAGGUACACGGAACUUCCAGUGGAGCGGUGAAAUGUGUUGAUAUUGGAAGGAACACCGGAGGCGAAAGCGGUGUACUGGGGCUGGUCUGACGCUGAGGCACGAAAGCCAGGGGAGCAAACAGG